AGAGUUUGAUCCUGGCUCAGGAUGAACGCUAGCUACAGGCUUAACACAUGCAAGUCGAGGGGAAACGACAUCGAAAGCUUGCUUUUGAUGGGCGUCGACCGGCGCACGGGUGAGUAACGCGUAUCCAACCUGCCCACCACUUGGGGAUAACCUUGCGAAAGUAAGACUAAUACCCAAUGACGUCUCUAGAAGACAUCUGAAAGAGAUUAAAGAUUUAUCGGUGAUGGAUGGGGAUGCGUCUGAUUAGCUUGUUGGCGGGGUAACGGCCCACCAAGGCAACGAUCAGUAGGGGUUCUGAGAGGAAGGUCCCCCACAUUGGAACUGAGACACGGUCCAAACUCCUACGGGAGGCAGCAGUGAGGAAUAUUGGUCAAUGGACGAGAGUCUGAACCAGCCAAGUAGCGUGCAGGAUGACGGCCCUAUGGGUUGUAAACUGCUUUUAUAAGGGAAUAAAGUGAGUCUCGUGAGACUUUUUGCAUGUACCUUAUGAAUAAGGACCGGCUAAUUCCGUGCCAGCAGCCGCGGUAAUACGGAAGGUCCGGGCGUUAUCCGGAUUUAUUGGGUUUAAAGGGAGCGUAGGCCGGAGAUUAAGCGUGUUGUGAAAUGUAGACGCUCAACGUCUGCACUGCAGCGCGAACUGGUUUCCUUGAGUACGCACAAAGUGGGCGGAAUUCGUGGUGUAGCGGUGAAAUGCUUAGAUAUCACGAAGAACUCCGAUUGCGAAGGCAGCUCACUGGAGCGCAACUGACGCUGAAGCUCGAAAGUGCGGGUAUCGAACAGGAUUAGAUACCCUGGUAGUCCGCACGGUAAACGAUGGAUGCCCGCUGUUGGUCUGAAUAGGUCAGCGGCCAAGCGAAAGCAUUAAGCAUCCCACCUGGGGAGUACGCCGGCAACGGUGAAACUCAAAGGAAUUGACGGAAGGGCGA
rnacentral:rRNA from 1 species